rnacentral:lncRNA from 1 species
GCCAUGUCCUCAGGUGGUCCCAAUUGCCUCUUCUGCUCAGCUGCCAUGCCAUGCACCUCCAAGAGCACUGCAAUCAGCUGCUGAUGUGCAACACCUCUUGCCCUGCAGGUCGGAGAACCAGCCCAGGUUGUCGGCGAUCACGUGAUGGCUGUGGCAGCCGGGGCACGUGACGAUGACGACGCCGCGGCUGUACGCCAGGCGGGAGAUGUUCUGCGCCGUGCGGCGCCGGCACACCUUGCAGGUGUACACCAGGCGGUAAUGCGACGGCUGCAGCCGCCCCACGCUGUCCGGCGGUGCGGUGCACGCGUGGCGCGGCGCCGGGCGCUGCUGUGGAGGCGCUGAGGCGCUGAGCGCGGCGCGCACCGCCGCCCGCCCCAAGCGCCGCAACAUGGCGGCCGCGCAUGCGCAGAAGGGGGCGGCGCUGACGCUGCGCGGCCGGUCCCACAGAGACCGCCUUCCCCAUGCGUACGUUGACGGCACCGCUUUAAAAACCCAGAGCUGUUUAUUGACGGAUCCAGCUGCAAACUCGAAGCUCGGCCGGCCCCUAGCUGCCCUCGGUGUCCGUGUUGUCGCUGCCCGUGCUCGGCUCCCAGUCGGCCUCGGGGCGGCGGCCCGCGGGCGCUCUGCGCAGGGCGCGCUUCCUGGAAACGGGAAUGCGUGAAACGGAGCCCGACGGGAACGGAGCGCGGGAUGGGGGGGGGGGGCGGCGGGAUGCGGCCCGACCUGCG